CCCAGCCGGAGCAGGGGCUGCAGAUCACAACCCAAUCUUUCUGGUGGCCAGAGCCCACGCGCUAGUCCUGUGGUGCUUUGCCAGAAUGACAAACAAAAGCACCACAUCUGCACGGCAAAGAUGAUGCUGAGAGGAUGCUGCUGAGCCUCUGGGCCUCAGCACGGGGCUGAUGGACCAGACCCUGGGACAUGCACUUACUGGCACCAUCCUACUUAUGGGGCUUCUGCUGAUAGCUCCAGAUAACUUCACGUGCUGCCCGAUGAUCUAGAAAAGGGGAUGAAGAAACUCCAGUGAGUGGGACAAGCACUGGUGGAACAUCUUUCACAAGGAUCUCAUGCAGCUUUGGAAGGAAACAUGCAGCUCAGGAUAAUGAAGCAAGCAGGAGUACAGUACCUCACUGCAUUUUGCUCCAUCAGCAUGUGGUGAGGCACCAUGCACCACAUGGAAAGGUGAGCAGUCACAGGCCUUGCUCCAGACCUCAGGCGAAAUCAGGAGCUGUGCUAUGUUUGUGCAAGAUACUCCCAAAUCAGUCAUUCUCCUGGCAGGGAAACAGUGUGUCAGCUGUUUGAUUGCUAAGUCCUCCCGCACAUGGAAUGCACCAGGUCAGGAUUAAAGAUCAAACCAGUCCUGUGCAGGACACAGCCAGUCAGGAAAAUGUCUGAGCCCAGCAAAGAGCCAGGAAAGUCUUAUAUAGCAUGCCAGACAAGGACUGCAGAAAGACAACUGGGAAGUUGCUUCAUCAGAGGACACAAACCAUGAGUGUGUCCUCUGGUGGGGAUGCCUCAAGUCUGCCAAUAGGAAACCUCAGGUGUCCUGGAGGAGAUCCCACAGAGCGGCAGUAGCUGCUAAAAUGCAUUUGCCCCUAACUUUGCAACACGUACAAUCUGCUGAAGCCCAGCUACGACCUUUCAGUAAGUGUCUGCCAUACUGAGUGGGUCUGGUACAGUCCUGUUGGCUCUGCUUGGGUCCCCAAGGUGGUAUUCAGGAAUUUUUUGCCUUAGAGUACAGUCCACUCUGUGUGGGGCCAGUAGGACUCAGCACCUGGUGGGGCUGGAAACCACAAUGCAGUCAUCCAAGUCUGGGAGGCUGGGAUUCCUGUACCUUCCCUGGGGGGCACGUGGGGACUAGGU